UACGGGAGGCAGCAGUGGGGAAUUUUGCACAAUGGGCGCAAGCCUGAUGCAGCAACGCCGCGUGUGUGAUGAAGGUCUUCGGAUCGUAAAGCACUUUCGACCGGGACGAACACCCCUUGGCUAACAUCCAAGGGUCUGACGGUACCGGGAGAAGAAGCACCGGCUAACUCUGUGCCAGCAGCCGCGGUAAUACAGAGGGUGCAAGCGUUGUUCGGAAUUAUUGGGCGUAAAGCGCGUGUAGGCGGCUUUGCAAGUCGGGUGUGAAAGCCCUCAGCUUAACUGAGGAAGUGCGCCCGAAACUGCAGAGCUUGAGUACCGGAGAGGAUGGCGGAAUUCCCCAAGUAGAGGUGAAAUUCGUAGAUAUGGGGAGGAACACCGGUGGCGAAGGCGGCCAUCUGGACGGAUACUGACGGUGAGACGCGAAAGCGUGGGUAGCAAACAGGAUUAGAUACCCUGGUAG
rnacentral:rRNA from 1 species